UCCUCCUGGCCUGUGGUAUGUGUACCUCUAUGCAUAGCUCUAACAGUAGUCUAGCAGGACAUACAGCAAUAUACUCUCCAUUUAGGAGGGAAGUCCUGAGCAUAGGGCUGACAGUCACUAAAAAGCAUGAGAGGACAAU